CAGAGCCGGAUUGCACCCUCUUGGCCGGGUCCUGGGAGAGCAGCCGCCUCCGGCGCCUCCGCUGUGCUCGGCCAAGUGGAACCCCUGAACAAAUGCCCUCGGGAGCGCUCCCGGCCUGGCCGGCUGCAGUUGGAGACACAGCGCCAUCUAGUGGAAGAGAGAAAAAAGCCCCAGUUGCUUUUUUUUUUUUUUUUUUUUUUAAAUUAGUGGAGAAACCUUGAAAUGGACUGAGAAUCAACCUUUCUCGUUUGAUACCAAAGGAGCUUGAGGCCAAAGCAAAUCCAGAGAAGGAAAUGGAUUUCCUGAGUGUCACACAGCCAGCCAGUGGCAGCUUUGACGCUACAGAACCUCAUCAUUUGAGGCGCAGUUCAGCAGUCUUGGCACCAUGCCACGGUGAGGAAACCAGAAGGUGAAAAAGCUAAUUUCGGUUGAGUGGCAUUUCAGAGCUCUGCUGAGGUGGAGGUGAACAUAUGCUGGGGGCUGAUGUCGAAAGAGAAGUUGUCAGUUAUUUACUGUUCUACAGAAUGCCUUGGCUGGACUCUCGGUGAUGGGUGCAGGGCUAGGGAAAAUUCAGUUAUCUGCCCUGCCCCUUACACUCCAAUCGGCCCUGAAACUCACACAGGAUAAGAUCAUGUAAAUUACACUGGGUUAGGGAGCAGGAGGGGCCACAGAGGGUCACUCGUGCCCUGAAGGUGGAGAAGGGAACGAGAGUUUACGGAAUGUUGGCCCCAAAAUUUCUUAUCCCCUUUUCCCUGAUAAGGAAAAAUUUGAGCCUCUGAUCUCAGUUCUACCUCCUUCUCCUGCUUCUUAGAAACUCCUGCAACUCUGGGUUUCUGGUCUUGAGAUCCCAGACAAGGGGUGGGGCCAGCACCCUUGUUUUCUGCUCUCUGGAGACUGCCGUGACCUGGAUGAAACAGGACUGCCGUGAGGAACUGCGCAGUACUUGGACUUUUCAGCCAAUCUACAGCUAAAAGGCACAUCCACGCAGUAGACUGUUGCCCACGAUUGUGGAGGGGGAAAUGCUAGCUGCAUUAUUCAGUGUCAGUUUCAGGGGUGGAGGGAAAGGUUAAAACCAAUGCCUAACUUCAUUCCUUCAAAAGAAAAUCCUAAAUGUUGACUUGAAACAUAUGGCUAUGCUUUGGGAUAAAUCGUAGUCUAGUUUCUCAUGGCUAUCCUAAAACAGCAAAAGGAUCUCUCGGCUGCAUUCUCUUCCUUCAGAGCCUGGGCCCUUCCCUUAACUCCUAGGCCAUCAUCCCAGCAGGAAGGACCAAGCCCAUCUUGCCUUAAACCGAAGGUUGCUGGCAGAGUUUCAGGCUGUAUACGUUGCAUUUGAGCACACUGCAAG
rnacentral:lncRNA from 10 species